UACGUAGGGUGCGAGCGUUGUCCGGAAUUAUUGGGCGUAAAGAGCUCGUAGGCGGUUUGUCGCGUCUGCCGUGAAAGUCCGGGGCUCAACUCCGGAUCUGCGGUGGGUACGGGCAGACUAGAGUGAUGUAGGGGAGACUGGAAUUCCGGGUGUAGCGGUGGAAUGCGUAGAGAUCCGGAAGAACACCGGUGGCGAAGGCGGCCUGCUGGGCUAUGGCUGACACUGAGGCGCGACAGCGUGGGGAGCAAACAGGG
rnacentral:rRNA from 1 species